GAAAUGCGAUAAGUAGUGUGAAUUGCAGAAUUCAGUGAAUCAUCGAAUCUUUGAACGCACAUUGCGCCCCUCGGUAUUCCGUGGGGCAUGCCUGUCUGAGCGUCAUUUCAACCCUCGGGACCCCGUUCGCGGGACCCGGCGUUGGGGAUCAGCCCGAAGCCCCCCCGGGGCGGGCGGCUGGCCCCGAAAUCUAGUGGCGGUCCCCCCAGCGACCUCCUCUGCGCAGUAGUAACUCACCUCGCAGCUGGACAGCGGGAGGGCCACGCCGUAAAACCCCCAACUUCUCAAAGGUUGACCUCAGAUCAGGUAGGAAUACCCGCUGAACUUAAGC
rnacentral:misc_RNA from 1 species